CCGGGGAUUUGUCUUCAGUUCAGCUCGCCUGACGGUCCCGCGCCUGUGGUUUAGUCGUCGCCACAUUACUACUAACAGGUCUGGCUGGUGGAGACUGACUGAAAUGGACCAUUGUGGACUCCUGCUUAACUUAGAAUAGAUCCAUAGCCUGGUCUCCAUGUUGAGGCUUGUGAAGCUUCGUCCAUGAGAGGCCUGGGGAGAGUCGACGAGUGAGGAGCUCACGAGCCAGUAUCUCCCGUCUCACCCACACUCUCACCUGAGAGCGAUGGGCAAGGAGCAGGAUCUGCUGGUGGCUGUGAAGACCGGGGAUCUGCUUCUGACCCACAAGCUGCUCACCAAAGUCAAGUGCAGCCGG
ensembl:lncRNA